CUCGCUCAGCCCCUGCCUGCAAUGCAGCCCAGUUCCCUGCCUGCCCUGGAGUUGGACUGUAGCUGGUAGCCCAGGAAGUAAUGCUCAGGCUCUGGGGUUACAUGGACAGCACCUGAACCUCUGAUUUCGGACAGAGCUUCGCUGUGCGGACAAAUGCAGACAAAUGCAUUUAGGGGCCCAAAGGACCAGGAGUGGAAACAUCUCUCCCCCAGCAAACAGACCUGGGAGCCGUGCAGUCUUCUAUCCCAACAUUAUAAUAAUAAUGGCAGAUUUCAGAGCAAGAGAGGCACAGGAUAACAUUUAUCUGUUUAAUUGCAAUAUGCACAGCUUUUGGUGCUGCAGAGACACGAGGUCUAGAUAUUCUUCAGAAGAUUGUGGUAGACCACAAGAAUUCUGCAUUUGUUUCCGUUUUGAAUGCUA